rnacentral:rRNA from 1 species
GAUGAACGCUGGCGGCGUGCCUAAUACAUGCAAGUCGAGCGAAUGGAUUAAGAGCUUGCUCUUAUGAAGUUAGCGGCGGACGGGUGAGUAACACGUGGGUAACCUGCCCAUUAGACUGGGAUAACUCCGGGAAACCGGGGCUAAUACCGGAUAACAUUUUGAACCGCAUAGUUCGAAAUUGAAAGGCGGCUUCGGCUGUCACUUAUGGAUGGACCCGCGUCGCAUUAGCUAGUUGGUGAGGUAACGGCUCACCAAGGCAACGAUGCGUAGCCGACCUGAGAGAGUUAUCUGCCACCCUGGGGCUGAGACACGGCCCAGACUCCUACGGGAGGCAGCAGUAGGCAAUCUUCCGCAAUGUACGAAAGUCUGACGGAGCAACGCCUCGUGAGUGACGAAGGCUUUCGGGUCGUAAAACUCUGUUGUUAGGGAAGAACAAGUGCUAGUUGAAUAAGCUGGCACCUUGACGGUACCUAACCAGAAAGCCACGGCUAACUACGUGCCAGCCGCCGCGGUAA